UGGGGAAUAUUGGACAAUGGGGGCAACCCUGAUCCAGCAAUGCCGCGUGUGUGAAGAAGGUCUUCGGAUUGUAAAGCACUUUCGACGGGGACGAUGAUGACGGUACCCGUAGAAGAAGCCCCGGCUAACUUCGUGCCAGCAGCCGCGGUAAUACGAAGGGGGCUAGCGUUGCUCGGAAUGACUGGGCGUAAAGGGCGUGUAGGCGGUUUACACAGUCAGAUGUGAAAUCCCCGGGCUUAACCUGGGAGCUGCAUUUGAUACGUGUAGACUAGAGUGUGAGAGAGGGUUGUGGAAUUCCCAGUGUAGAGGUGAAAUUCGUAGAUAUUGGGAAGAA
rnacentral:rRNA from 1 species